rnacentral:rRNA from 1 species
UGGGGAAUCUUGCGCAAUGGGCGAAAGCCUGACGCAGCGACGCCGCGUGGGGGAUGAAGGCCUUCGGGUUGUAAACCCCUUUCGGCAGGGACGAAGCUAACGUGACGGUACCUGCAGAAGAAGUCCCGGCUAACUACGUGCCAGCAGCCGCGGUAAGACGUAGGGGACGAGCGUUGUCCGGAUUUAUUGGGCGUAAAGCGCGCGUAGGCGGCUGUGCAAGUCGGUUGUGAAACUCCGGGGCUCAACCCCGGAACUGCGUCCGAUACUGCAUGGCUAGAGGUAGGUAGGGGAGAUCGGAAUUCCUGGUGUAGCGGUGAAAUGCGCAGAUAUCAGGAGGAACACCGGUGGCGAAGGCGGAUCUCUGGGCCUUACCUGACGCUCAGGCGCGAAAGCUAGGGGAGCGAACAGGAUUAGAUACCCCCGUAGUCC